GAGGGAGCAGGAACCAGUUCAUGCAGUUGAAGCUGCAGAUAGCACCAAAGGACACACAAACGGCUCAUCGUUGGACGCGCACGGGGAUAUCUGCAAGUUUUUAGUGCCCUCGCAUCCUGACCCUGCGCAACUUUCUCAUGUGACUUUGUUGAGGUUUGGCACACGCUUGUUUCUAACCUGCUCUGAGGACAGAAAAGAAGUAAAGCCAUAUAAGGCAGAUGAUGGGUGCGGCCAGAGCUUGAUUGACAGCUCCCAGGUGGACCUGGUGGUCUAGGCGAGCCGGCAGGUAGGCAAAGUACAGGUUGUGUUUGUCCACCAGGUGUUUGAGCAUCAUGUACAGGAGACCUGAUGAAGACACACACACACACACACACACACACACACACACACACACA